rnacentral:rRNA from 1 species
GACGAACGCUGGCGGCGUGCUUAACACAUGCAAGUCGAACGGAGUGGCGAACGGGUGAGUAACACGUGGGUGACCUGCCCUGCACUUCGGGAUAAGCCUGGGAAACUGGGUCUAAUACCGGAUAGUGUGGGAUGGGCCCGCGGCCUAUCAGCUGGUGGGUGGGGUAAUGGCCUACCAAGGCGGCGACGGGUAGCCGGCCUGAGCGGGUGGACCGCCACAGUGGGACUCGGAUGCGGCCCAGACUCCUACGGGAGGCAGCAGUGAGGAAUAUUGCACAAUUGGCGGAAGGCUGAUGCAGCGACGCCGCGUGGGGGAUGACGGCUUUCUGGUAGUAAACGCCUUUCACCAUCGACGCGGUAGAUGGAGAAGAAGCACCGGCUAACUACGUGCCAGCAGCCGCGGUAAUAC